CCCAGAGAAGGAGCAGGUACCACUUCCGCCCAGGUGGAGUGGGAGAAUGCGGAGCUGAGGGGCCAGCUCCUGGGGGUGACACGGGAGAGGGACUCAGCCCUUCGCAAGAGCCAGGGCCUGCAGAGCAAGCUGGAGAGCCUGGAGCAAGUGCUGAAGAGGAAUCUGGAGCAAAUGGUGUUUGAGGCUUCCUCAUCUCAGAUCUUCUCUAGAAAUGGCCAAGUGGGGGCUCUGGCCUUGACUCGGAUCUUGUGUGUCAGCACCUUCGGGAGGUGGCCCAGCGGCGGCAGCAGCUGGAGGUGGAGCAUGAACAGGCUCGGCUCAGCCUACGGGAGAAGCAGGAGGAGGUCCGGAGGCUGCAGCAGGUGGGGCGGCAGUGAGGGAAGCUGGCAGGCUGCUGAACACCAGCGUUGCCACUC